rnacentral:rRNA from 1 species
GACGGAGGAUGCAAGCGUUAUCCGGAAUGAUUGGGCGUAAAGCGUCCGCAGGUGGCAGUUCAAGUCUGCUGUCAAAGACCGGGGCUUAACUUCGGAAAGGCAGUGGAAACUGAACAGCUGGAGUAUGGUAGGGGCAGAAGGAAUUCCUGGUGUAGCGGUGAAAUGCGUAGAGAUCAGGAAGAACACCGGUGGCGAAAGCGUUCUGCUAGACCUGUACUGACACUGAGGGACGAAAGCUAGGGGAGCGAAUGGG